AAAGCCGCGAGGUGGAGCGAAUCUCCAAAAAUUGUCCCAGUUCAGAUUGCAGGCUGCAACUCGCCUGCAUGAAGUCGGAAUUGCUAGUAAUCGUGGAUCAGCAUGCCACGGUGAAUACGUUCCCGGGCCUUGUACACACCGCCCGUCACACCAUGGGAGCCGGUAAUACCCGAAGUCAGUAGUCCAACCUCGUGAGGACGCUGCCGAAGGUAGGAUUGGCGACUGGGGUGAAGUCGUAACAAGGUAUC
rnacentral:rRNA from 1 species